rnacentral:rRNA from 1 species
ACUCCUACGGGAGGCAGCAGUGGGGAAGUCUUGGACAAUGGGCGCAAGCCUGAUCCAGCCAUGCCGCGUGAGUGAUGAAGGCCCGUAGGGUCGUAAAGCUCUUUCGCCAGGGAUGAUAAUGACAGUACCUGGUAAACGAAACCCGGCUAACUCCGUGCCAGCAGCCGCGGUAAUACGGAGGGGUUAGCGUUGUUCGGAAUUACUGGGCGUAAAGCGCGCGUAGGCGGACUGGAAAGUUGGGGUGAAUCCGGGGCUCAACCCGGAACUGCCUCCAAAACUCCCAGUCUUGAGUUCGAGAGAGGUGAGUGGAAUUCCGAGUGUAGAGGUGAAAUUCGUAGAUAUUCGGAGGAACACCAGUGGCGAAGGCGGCUCACUGGCUCGAUACUGACGCUGAGGUGCGAAAGUGUGGGAGCAAACAGGAUUAGAUACCCUGGUAGGAUAGCG